AUAGGGCGAAACAAGAUGGACCUGUAGUACUGGGCUGGAGACAUCCAUGGGAAGGCCAUGGUGACCAUGGGCACGGGCACUAGGUCCUUUGUAGGCUUGUUGUCAAUGGUCGGGGAAAUGGCAAGGCUUCGGCUGCAGUUUUCUUCCUAUUUGCAUGUUACAAGUACCAUAUUUUCUAAGUUCUGUUCUAAUAAGGAUAUUGUGAUAGCCAAACAGACAUAAACAUCACUUCGUCAUUUUUACUCUGUAAUCAUGAAUUCUUCUGAUGUGUUUUGAAUAUUUGAUUUGUGUUCAAUCACUGCUUUUGUUGAGUUGAAG
rnacentral:misc_RNA from 1 species